GAUGAAGAACGUAGCGAAAUGCGAUAAGUAGUGUGAAUUGCAGAAUUCAGUGAAUCAUCGAAUCUUUGAACGCACAUUGCGCCCCUUGGUAUUCCAUGGGGCAUGCCUGUUCGAGCGUCAUUUGUACCUUCAAGCUUUGCUUGGUGUUGGGUGUUUGUCCCGAGGGACUCGCCUUAAAGUAAUUGGCAGCCAGUGUUUGGUUUUGAAGCGCAGCACAAGUCGCGAUUCAAGGCUACACGCCCGCUUCCACAAGCCUUUUUUCACUUUUGAUCUCGGAUCAGGUAGGGAUACCCGCUGAACUUAAGCAUAUCAAUAAGCGGAGGA
rnacentral:misc_RNA from 1 species